rnacentral:rRNA from 1 species
AGAGUUUGAUCAUGGCUCAGGACGAACGCUGGCGGCGCGCUUAACACAUGCAAGUCGAGCGAGAACCUGGCCUUCGGGCCUGGGGAAAGCGGCGAACGGGUGAGUAACACGUGGGUAACCCACCCUUGGUACCGGGAUAGCCCGAGGAAACUCGGAUUAAUACCGGAUGGCCCAACAGCUCUUCGGGGCGGUUGGAAAAGGUAGCUUCGGCCUCCGACCAAGGACGGGCCCGCGGCGGAUUAGCUUGUUGGUGAGGUAACGGCUCACCAAGGCGACGAUCCGUAGCUGGUCUGAGAGGACGAUCAGCCACACUGGGACUGAGACACGGCCCAGACUCCUACGGGAGGCAGCAGUGGGGAAUCUUGCGCAAUGGGCGAAAGCCUGACGCAGCGACGCCGCGUGGGGGAAGAAGGCUUUCGGGUUGUAAACCCCUUUCAGGAAGGACGAAGCCACUCGGGUGAAUAGCCCAGAGGGUGACGGUACUUCCAGAAGAAGCCCCGGCUAACUACGUGCCAGCCGCCGCGGUAAUAC